UCGAGUACACUGCACCCAGUAUUGGUUCUGUGCCAGGGUUAAACCCACGAUAUUUCACAAUGUGUAUAUGAAUUCCGAUGAAGUAUUCCUAGGAGAUGGCUGCCCUGUAACUCAUUCUUUGCCAGAUGUCUACUAUGAGUUUUUCUACCAUCCUCAUGACUGUGGUAUUAUAUCUCAGCCUCUCCAGGAAGUUAUUCUGCUUAGAACUAAAAUCAAGUAUAUCUCAAGAGAUUCUACCGUCCGAUCUGAAAUGCCUCUGUCGUGUGUUGUCCACAAUCAGAAUCCUCUUUUAAAUGCAGUUGAAAUGAGAGAUGGGGAAAAUGUUACCGAAUGGGAGAUAGAUGUGAGGAUACACAUUGCGAAUGAAGAUGGCGCAGUAACUUCUACAACACAAUCUUGUGGCUGUAACCUGUACUGAAUCCUGGCUCCAGGUCAAAUUUAGACAAAGGCCCCUGAUAAAUGACCUGCAACCUUUGCAACAUGAACUCUUUCUAGGAAGUGGCUGUCCUGUAAACCUCGUGGAGCCGGAUUUCUUUGUGUUCUUUUAUCUUCUAACUUUUUGUGGCAUCGUAGUGACUGAACAGCCAGUAGGUAUUCUCAUUGAAAGUGCAAUCGUAUAUAACUCGGCGAAUUUUGACUUCGAUGUACACAUCCCGGUAUCAUGCUAUAUUCAAAGAAGGUUUCCAAUAAUCUUCGUGAUGAGAAGGAGAGAGAAUAAUAGACGUGAAUGCAGAAGGCCAGUGGGGCAGCACCGCUCACUAUCACAGGAAGUUAAGGACUUGGGAAUCCAUCCAAGAGCGUCUUAUGCGAACAGUAUUCCCUUGUUGAACUACAUAAUGUUAUCGCUUCCUAAGUGCAAAAAUAAAGCUGUGCAUUCUGGAUGAUGAGGCAACCCUACUUCACCUGGUAUUCUCGCUGCUUGAAGAUUUCAUUGCCUUUUAGAAGUUGGACUAGUCACUGGAUAUUGUCUUUUAUCAUUUCAAAUGUGAUAUUUUUAAAUGAGA